rnacentral:rRNA from 1 species
GAUGAACGCUAGCGGCAGGCUUAAUACAUGCAAGUCGAGGGGUAGUUUAGAUUCGUCUGAAUUAGACCGGCGCACGGGUGAGUAACACGUACGCAACCUACCCUGUACUGAGGCAUAGCCCCGGGAAACUGGGAUUAAUUCCUCAUAGUCCUUUAGAAUGGCAUCAUUCUUUAGGUAAAGCUCAGGCGGUACAGGAUGGGCGUGCGUCUGAUUAGGUAGUUGGUAUGGGUAACGGCCUACCAAGCCUGCGAUCAGUAGCUGGCGUGAGAGCGCGACCAGCCACACUGGAACUGAGACACGGUCCAGACUCCUACGGGAGGCAGCAGUAGGGAAUAUUGGGCGAAUGGGCGCAAGCCUGACCCACGCCACUGCCGCCGUGAAGGA